rnacentral:rRNA from 1 species
AGAGUUUGAUCCUGGCUCAGAGUGAUCGCUGGCGGCGUGCUUAACACAUGCAAGUCGAGCGAAUUCUGGCAGAGUAUCGCCAGAGUUAGCGGCAGACGGGUGAGUAAUACUUGGGCUAUCUGCCUUGAGAGGGAAACAACCUGCCGAAAGGCGGGCUAAUGUCCCAUAAGACCACGGGAAGGCAUCUUCCAGAGGUCAAA